UACGUAGGGGGCAAGCGUUAUCCGGAUUUACUGGGUGUAAAGGGGGCGCAGGCGGCACGGCAAGUCUGGUGUGAAAACCCGGGGCUCAACCCCGGGACUGCAUUGGAUACUGCCGGGCUGGAGUGUCGGAGGGGUAAGCGGAAUUCCUAGUGUAGCGGUGAAAUGCGUAGAUAUUAGGAGGAACACCAGUGGCGAAGGCGGCUUGCUGGACGAAAACUGACGUUGAGGCUCGAAAGCGUGGGGAGCAAACAGG
rnacentral:rRNA from 1 species